ACAUAGGUCAGGGUGGAGCUGCAGCCAAACUGCUCGCCCCAUUCCUGGAUCAGCCCCAUCCCUGCGUGCUCCCAUCAUUCAUCCCCUGCUUGGGCUCCUCUGCAGAAAUAUCUGAAGGAUGACUGUUCUUCCUACCAGUGCCCAUGUUCACUUGCCAACUUGGAUGCAGAUGUAAAACCCUCCAUUAGUCGUUUGGACUCUCAUUUACAAUUAUCUUUUCCAUGUGUUUUUAAAACUGGAAUACUUACAGCCUGGGGACAGAGGACCAACGUGGGGGUUCCGCAGGUGAAGAGGAGCUGCGGAUGAAGUCACACAGCUCUGCACAGGAAACUGGAGUGAUGCCAGGAACUCCUGGCACAAGUUUGUUGCUAUUAAACACAAAGAUGCAGACACAGCCUUUGAGAUCCUGUCCUGCCAAAUGCCAGACUUACCAGCAGGAAAUACCAGUGGGGAUGUCCUGUCCCGUGCGAGCAGCUCUGACCACAGCCUGUGCCAAGCCACUACAAUAGACAUCUCCCUGCAGCCCUCCGGCCCCGGCUGGUCUCCAAGAGAACAGUGCAGGAGAAGACAGACAGUCUUCAAAUGCCCACUCAGUGCAGCUUCCUCCUACACUGCAUCCUCUUCACCCUUCCUUGCAGCUCUACCCCAGGGCAGGCAGGGUGGCACACAGAACAGGGGACACACCAGGUGGGGCAGAACUGCCUGUACAGCUUCUGCGUUUUGAGGCUCUAUCCAUCCCAUUGUGUUAAAGCACUGGGCCACAAAGAGCACAGAAAUGCAGCCACUCCUGUGGGGAGGCUACGUGCCAAGGACUCAGAACGGCUCUGAGUCCUGAAUAAGGAGGACUGGACUCCAAGCCCACCUUACAGCUGUGCUUGAAAUAGCCACGUGUGCUGCUGCAGAGCGGAGAGUAUUCUUUUUCCACUAUGAUUGCUCUUGGAUCCUUUUUGCUUCUGUAAGCCCCGACGGCUCAGCUACCACCCAGGCAGGGAGGUGUUGGUCAGGAGGGGCCUGCAUGACACAGCCAAUGCUCGAGAACACAGCUGAGCGUGGAUUCCCGAGGCUUGUCUGAAAAAGCACAUUCCGAGAAUUUCCCUCUUCCGCUGCUACUCCCUCUUCCUCUUUCACAGGAAACUCCUGCAGAGAACAAAUAAAUAACCAAACGACCAUCACACCCAACUGGAGUAGCGAUAAGAAAUUUGGUUCUGAUCCACACCACAGAGAAAUGUGAUAAAAUGCCGGCCUCUCAGAAGCCAGAAACUGACUGUUUGCCAAGAGACUAAAAAUAAGCCACAGAGGGCUCUACUUAAAGGCAUGCACUAAUAAACGUCUCUGUCCU
rnacentral:lncRNA from 7 species